rnacentral:lncRNA from 1 species
GUCACGAGUGGGGGAGUGCUCCUAUUAAAUUUAUUCACUUUUACGUCACAUAAGUCGUGUUUAUUCCACUUUACCAGUUAACCUUUUGGCCAUGAAGGGUUAAGCAUAGUAAAAUCUUGUUCUGUACUUUACGGUAAUUUAACCGUAAUUUGAAUAAAUAGGUUAUGUUUGUAAACAAACUGUAAUCAUGAAUCAUAUAUUUUCCACGAAUGUCCCAAACAGAAUGUUGAUAAUCAGCGAUUUUUCAAAAGAUGUGUUGACAGUUCACGUACAGUUUAAAUUUAGGGACACAUCUGUUAUGAUACGAUAUUUAAAUAGUUAUUUGUUUGUCAGUACUUUAUUAAGGAUUGUAAGUCUUUAUUUAAAUAAACAACGGAAGUUUCAAACCCUCCAUAGUGUCACGAUAAAAAAAAAGAUUAGGACAAAAACAUCCGCCAAUCUUAUAUUCAAUGCAUCGAUCCACAGACACAUAUAGUGCAUUGUCUCGCGGUUUAUUAUAUUCUACGGGUCCUCAAAAAGUUUCAAUGUAAUUUCCUUCUUUAUUACAAUUUUACGUUACUUAACGUGUUCAGAACAUCCUAUAAUAGUGGUUAUCUCUAUAAUUUUAUUAGCAAGUGCCGAUGGGCAGUACAGACUGUCCCAACAUAAGAGAGAGAGAAAAAAUUUUAAAAGGAAAAAAAAAUAAGUAUUAUGUUGAAAUAUCUUCAACAAAGAAAAUAACAAAUUGGAGGCAUUGCUACCAAUAGCUUAUAGACGCAGAAAAAAGAAACAUUUUGUUUACGACCGCGAUUUGAAAUUGAUUUAGUACUAUUUUCGAUCGCGAUUUGUUGCGUAAAAAUCAAAGUACAAUCUAGCUUACAAUCACAAACGUUAGUCUGCUCAAUAAAUUUUCGACAAAUAAAGGGUCAUAACGUUAAAGGUUAAUGUCCUUUCACUAAGCUAGGGUAUCUUAUACUUUGGGGUUAAACAGAUAUUACGCAAACAUUUUUUUAUUAUUGAAUUGUUGGUUAUGCUACCGGGUUGUCACCGUUCGACAGGUUAGACUUAUGGUAAGUUCCUGUCUGUUAUGUCUGUUUGCCUGGCGGGAUUUACAAAUUCAUAGACAUGAUAACUCUAAUGGGGACCAUUUAGUACAAGCUACUACCAAUAAUUGGUAUUGUCAUAUACUUAAAAUAAUACAUUUUGAAGUGUUCAUAUAAUGAGGAUUUUCUAACCCAGGAUAAAGAACCUAAGCUGUAUUUGGCAUAACCUUUCGAAAAUGUUGGCUCUUAAUGCUCUUCAACUUCGUACUGUAUUUGACCUUCCAACUUUUUUUAAUUCAAGUGCCACUAAAAGAGGGGCGAAAGAUACCAGAGGGACAUUCAAACUCAUAAGUUGAAAAUAAACUGACAAUGCCAAAUGGCUAAAAUAAAGGACAAACAGACAAACAAUAGUACAGUUAACACAACAAAGAAAGCAAAAC